rnacentral:lncRNA from 1 species
AAUAAUGAAAACAAUCAAAUUAGAUACUAGGAACUGAAAUGGACGGAAAUUGAAUUAAAAGACUAACAACAAUGAAAACUAACUAAAUAAUAUAAUUUAAUAAUGGGGGGGUUUGGUUUUGACGAGAAGUAAAUUAAACUUAAAUAAAUUACAGAAUUGACAAAAGCAUGAAAUUAAGGUGAAAUGAUAGGUGACAGACUAGCUAGAGGGUUCUUCUCCACACAUGCUACAUAUGCAACCUAAAUUGAUUUUUCAGUUGUUCUUUCAAUAAAUUGUGAAUGACAAUGUUCCAAGUUAAUUAGGUCCGCUUAAAUUAACUCUUAGAUUUCCCUAGAUUCAUUGGAUUGAAUGGAAUACGCAUUACAACCAAAUUAUUCCUCAUCAAAGUCCCUAACUAUGGAAUACGCAUGAUAGAGACAUUCAACAAAGAUCAUUAAGUUCAACGGAAAUCAUAAACAUUGACUAGGCAUUCAUAACUAUGGAAUACGCAUGUUAAUCCAGCCUAGAAUUCACUUAACACGAUUGUGGAUAACAACCUUCACUACUUGUGAAUAUAAGUUCAUAACGAUUAGGUGAAAUUCACUUAUAUUCUAGCAUCAAAUUCAUGCAUGUAAAUUAAGUAUGCAUUCUUAAUCGACAUACAAAAAUAAGUUAUCAAUCAAGCAGUUAAGCAAAUUAAAUUACAACUCAGAAAUCACAACUGAAGGUAAUCAAUUCAUAUUACAAAUAUAUUCAUGGCUUUGAAUUAACCUCUAGCCAAAAUAAAUUUAGUUACACAUAAUUCUUAAAUUAAACCAAAAGUAAAACAUGGGUUUGAGAAGAUAAAACCAAGAAGAGAAGAUCUGCCGUGCUUAUGUGCUUCUGCCCUCUGUCUUCCUUAAUUCCGUUUUUCCUUCUCACUGCGCCCGUCAGUCUCUCUUCUCAGCACAGUUUUCUGUGCUUCUAUCUGCUCUCCCCGUGUCUCUUGCUUCUGCUCUGCGCCUGCAGUCUCCCUCUUCCCCAGUUCCUUAUUUUCUGCCUUCGUUUAUUCUUUGCCUUUUCUCACGCUGCCAAGGGCAGCUUUCCUUCUCCCACUUCUCUUGGCUGUCCCGUGAUUCCCCUUUCUCACCUGCUCUGCCUUCUUUUUAUUUUAUUAAUCUGUCCCUAGUUUUUUUUAUUCUUUCUUUCUUCUUUGUCUGCCGCACUCCUCUCCCUUUCUUUAUUCAAUUUCUGUUUUUCUGCUCCACUGCAUUAUUCUUUCCGCACUGCCUCAGUGCUCUCUUUCCACUUCUAUUUUUCAAGCUGGCCGCCUCCACCAACUCCCUCUAUCCUUUUCUUUAUGCCCUCCAUGAUUUUUCUAGUGGUCCACCCGUGUUCCACUUUUGAUGAAAAGGAUCUGCUAAAGAGAGGAAUGGUGGUAUUUGCUCCGUAGUUUCUUAUGAAUUGUGACUGUGGCCAAGAAGCAUGCAUAAACUCUCUGGCGGGAUACCUUCCAUAUAGAACAGGAAUUCCUGAAACAUGAUUGUAUAAAACUCAACUACAAAUAACAAACUACUAGAUAAUUCAAAACAAUAGGAUCUUUCCCUAGAAGCCCAACUUUCAUUCCAAAUACAUAAACGCGAAACAUUGAAGAAAUAGAGCCGCAUUAAGAAGGUAGAAUAUCUAAGCAUAAUAUAAGCCCUUGAACACCUUUAGUUUUGUAAGGACAAGUUCGACCUAUAAUCCGUGACAUAAUUCUACCAAUAACCCAUGACAGAAUGAGAACGACUAAAGCAAUUUUCGACGAAUUUAUUAUUUAAAACUCAUUUGUGCUAUUUUUAUUUUCUUUACAUAACAAAUCCUAAAAACACAAAAAUAACGUAAAUAGCUCAAAAAUAUAAGGAACUAACCAAGAAAAGACGAGUGAAUUUGAAGUAAAAAUAUAUAUAAAUAUGAUCCGAUCAAGCAUCAGAUUUCAUCGUGGUUUAUCUAUAUGUAUAUGACAUGCACACAAUUAUUAUGAACGCUUUGAAGUGCAAAGGUGAACGCAGGACACCCAGGUAAGUUCAGGUGAGUUUAUGGUAUUGGUUGAAAUGAUGGGGUUAUGGUAUGACUACAUGUAUGUUUAGGCAACUCCGACCUUGUCGUGUAGGUUGCAAUGGUAGGUAACUCCGACACUGUCGUAUAGGUCGCCCAUGAAUCGUAUAUGUGACAAUAGAUAUAGUUAGAGCUCAUAAACCUGCACCCCGGUGUUAGUGCUCCCGUCCGUGGCCA